rnacentral:rRNA from 1 species
GACGAACGCUGGCGGCGUGCUUAACACAUGCAAGUCGAACGGAAAGGCCCUGCUUGCAGGGUCCUCGAGUGGCGAACGGGUGAGUAACACGUGGGUGCUCUGCCCUGCACUUCGGGAUAAGCUUUGGUAACUGGGUCUAAUACCGGAUAGGACCGCACUUUAGUGUGUGUGGUGGAAAGUUUUUUCGGUUUAGGAUGAGCUCGCGGCCUAUCAGCUUGUUGGUGGGGUAAUGGCCUACCAAGGCGGCGACGGGUAGCCGGCCUGAGAGGGUGUACGGACACAGUGGGACUGAGAUACGGCCCAGACUCCUACGGGAGGCAGCAGCGGGGAAUAUUGCUCAAUGGGCGCAAGCCUGAUGCAGCGACGCCGCGUGGGGGAUGAAGGCCUUCGGGUUGUAAACGCCUUUCGCUAGGGACGAAGCUUUUUGUGACGGUACCUAGAUAAGAAGCACCGGCUAACUACGUG